rnacentral:rRNA from 1 species
GACGGAAAGACCCUAUGCACCUUUACUAUAGCUUAGUAUUGGGUUUGGUUACAACAUGCGUAGGAUAGGUGGGAGACUACGAAGCGGGCCUUGCGGGGCUCGUGGAGUCAAUGGUGAAAUACCACCCUUAUCGUCAUGGAUGUCUAACCGCGGCAUUACAGUGUCCGGGACAGCGUAUGGUGGGUAGUUUGACUGGGGCGGUCGCCUCCCAAAGAGUAACGGAGGCGCGCGAAGGUUCCCUCAGGUUGAUUGGAAACCAACCGUUUAGUGUAAUGGCAUAAGGGAGCUUGACUGCGUGACACACAAGUCGAGCAGGUACGAAAGUAGGUUUUAGUGAUCCGGCGGCACCGAGUGGAAGGGCCGUCGCUCAAAGGAUAAAAGGUACGCUAGGGAUAACAGGCUGAUCUUCCCCAAGAGUUCACAUCGACGGGAAGGUUUGGCACCUCGAUGUCGGCUCAUCGCAUCCUGGGGCUGGAGAAGGUCCCAAGGGUUUGGCUGUUCGCCAAUUAAAGCGGUACGCGAGCUGGGUUCAAACCGUCAAGAAGCUUUAUAUAAAGGCUUUUCGACCGUUUGAACCCGAGGAAAAGACAUCAUCAUGGCGGCCUUAGAGAGUGAUCUCUAAGUGCGAAACUGACUCAUAUCGAUGAAGUCCUGUUGCAUGACAAACCGUCAUAUGAUAGGAUAAUAUCGAGGGAAGUCGUGUAUGCUUAAAUCUAUUUCGUCAACUAAAAAAUCUUAUCUGGCUGGUUUCUUGGAUGCUGAUGGAAGCAUUUAUGUGCAAGCAAAACCAAACAAAACUUAUCGUUUUGGUUUUCAAAUUGCGCCUUACAUUGUUUUCUAUCAAUCCCAGAAAGACGCUGAAUCUUUUUCUCGUGUGUGCUCCUUGAUUCAAAUGGGACAUAAGCGGUUGAGAAAAGAUGGCAUCGUCGAAUAUAUAAUCAGCAAACAGGAAGAGAUAAUAUCCUUUAUAAAAUUGGUUGAGCCAUACGUGAUAAUGAAAAAAUCACAAGUAGCUCUAUUGAAAAGGAUUAUUGCUUUGAAACAAAGAUCAAGAACCAGAAAAGAUUUUGAACAGUUGAUAAUCACAAUAGAUAAAUUUCGGGAAUUGAAUUAUUCCAAGAAAAGAAAAAAGCGUACAUUGACCCCGUAGAGACUAAACGUCGGUCUCCCGAAACAUUUCGGGAUGAAGGUAUAGUCCGUGCACAUAGUAAUAUGUGAUAUACAUGCGUGAGACAGGUUGGUCUCUAUCUGCCGUAGGCGUCGUUGCUUGAGAGGAGUCUUUCCUAGUACGAGAGGACCGGAAAGAACGAACCUCUGGUGUACCAGUUGUUCCUGCCAAGGGCACCGCUGGGUAGCUAAGUUCGGAAGGGAUAAUCGCUGAAAGCAUCUAAGCGAGAAGCCCACCUCAAGAUAAGGCAACUGCAGUGCGAAGCACUGGAAUUUUGAAAAUCGAAUUUUGAAUUUCGAAUGAAUUUUUAAUGAUUUAAUUUUUAAUAAUUGAAACAUUAUAACAUUCGAAUUUGAUUCAAAAUUAGAAAUUAUAAAUUCGAAAUUUCAGCGCUUCGCGCUGUGCAACUUCCUGGGAGAAGACCAGGUUGAUAGGCUCUAGGUGUAAGUCCAGCGAUGGAUUGAGCCAAGGAGUACUAAUAUGUUGAAGAUUUACCCUC